CCGCCGCAGCUCGGCCCCAGCCCCGCCUGCUGCCCCGGCAGCUUCUGCCAUCCGGGCCCGGCGCCGCGGAGCCCCGGCUGCCCUCGGGGCUGCUGCCGCCCUCCCGCAGCCGUGCCCUGGGGCGGCAGCGUGCGGCAAGGGCCCGGGCUGAGCCCUGCCGGGCCACGAGGGCGAGUGGCCGCAGGGCUGGCAGCGCCGCGGGCAGGGAGCUGUGCCUCGGGCCGUGACAGGCUCUGUGUUCUCAGGGAUGGCCGGGCAGCACCUCACGGGGCACAAGCGACAGCUCCGGCGCAUCUGUCAGGCCCUUGAAGACAAGGCAGAGGACAUCAGCCCUGCCAUCAAAAGCCAGGCUCUCAAAACUGUCUUUCUGCUGCAGGCAGUAGGGAGAGCUUCGGGCUCCAUAUUGCAGAAGCUGCAAGAUCAAUUUUGCAGGGCAUGGAAGAAACAGUCCUGUCUGUGGGGCCAUGGCUGGCUCUUCUGCUGGAGCUCUGAGGAGAGCUGAAUGGAGAGGCUCUUUGUCAGCUGCGGCCACCUGAGCCAGAGAGGAUUUUUCUUUUCUCUACAAUUGUUUUUUCCUUCUUUCUCGUUUUUCUUCAGCAUGUAAAUAUAGGAUAUGUUCUAACA